ensembl:lncRNA
UUUUUUUUUUUUGUUUUAUUUUAAACUCAGAGUUUCUGAGUACUUAUGGAAUAAUAGCUGUGAGGGUAAUUAUCACUGCUUCUAGAACACUCACAUGUGUGGGGAAGAAAUAAGGACAUGGCUUUUUUCCCAGUUAUUAAUAUUUUUCAGCUGGAAUGAAAAAAUAUUCUGCAUGUAAAUAGCCAAGUUUCUUCAGGGGUUUCUGGAGAAAUGAGGAUCACUGAUGUGGCAUUUUUUUCCCAUCUAAGUACAAGCAUUGAUGGAAGAUCACAGCAGAAUAAAGAACAUGUCCAUCUAUGUACUUCCAAAUAAUGUUUUACUAAGACUGCAGAAAAGGACCCCAUAUGUUGCUUUAGCUACACAGCAGAAACAUGUCAGCCUGUGGGAGCAGGCCAGGGAACCGUCAACAUGUUUUCCCUGCCGACACUAGCACACAGCCGACCCUUUGUUCAGACUUACCUGUACAUGGGCAGGGCUCUCCAGAUAUUUAUACAGAGCCUUGAGACAUACCUACCAACCAACCUGAAAAACGUCAGUCAGCAGCUGAAGAGAUCUUUUGUCCUGACAAAAAGAUAAGGAAAAGAAAAUAUCCCAGAGCAGCUCAUUGGGUACUGAAUUAAAGGGGGCAACAAGCAGGUAUCAGUCCUUCCAAAGGCUAACCCUGCUGAUGGCUUACUUCAAGCACUGAGAUCAAACAGAUAAUGAGGUUUUGAAGUCCUAUUCAAACCCAGUGAAAAUACACAACUUAUGGAACAAAUUAUCUAAAUCAGUUUGAAAACCAAUACAGAAUGUUUUCAUAGGUUAUGCGCUUCAUGUGAAGAUGCAAAGCAUUAGGAACAGGCAAAUGAUGCCUUAGAAUGACAGGUGAGCAAUUGCCAAUCAACUUAUUUGACUGAUAACAGCUGGUUGGCUGCUCUCUUUCCUGUAUCAGUAGGUCAAGUUUUGUGUGUGAUUUUAGCCACUUUGACAGACCAGAAAAACUUGUAACUUAAUGCACUCCAAGCACUUGCAUUUAACACAGCCCUUCAGCUUCUAUGGAGAAGACCUUCUCUAGGCCACCCCUCACCCCUGUGCAGUCUCUUUUUUCAAAAGGAUCAAAAUUAAGGCAGCUGACAGAAACGGGUAAAGAUCAUCUUUGGGACCCUACAGUCAACCAAAAUAAUUAUUAACCACACUGCUUCUAAGUAAAGCCUGUUUUCACCACAUCUUUGCAGGCUUUGUCCGAGGUAGGGCUUUUAUCUCAUCACAAUUCUGCCAGUUUAGGGCAACACCCUCACAGCCACUCAAAGGGUCUCUUACUUUUCGCCUGAACUUCUCCUAGACUGCCUUAUCUCAUUUGUUUAAGACUCCACAAAUCCUCCCACAUCUUUACUUCUCUUUGUCUCCAAAAGGGUUUUCAAGUGUUUGAAAAUACAACAAAAUAUCUCUCCAACUCUGCCCUCUGACUCAUUCUCUCCCUCUCCUCACACACCAGCGCGGGCUGUGGCGCCGAGGCUCUGCGACCUCCCCUCAAAGGAGCGGCCGCGCAGAGGAGCGAAUUUUCCAGCUUUACAGGGCAGCAGGAAAAGGGCUUUGCCGGACUAAUCAGAGCCCCAUCCCCACAGCGGGUUGUGCAGCCUGCCCCAGCCCACACGCAGGGCUCGUCCCCACGGCACGGCCGGGCGCUGUGCUCCCGACUGGCAGCAGCUCACAGCAGCGGGACCGCAGCUGCUUCCCAACUCUCUGCUACAACUUUGUCAGCAGAAAGUGAAAUAAGGAGCUGGGGUUUGCACAGAAAUAUUCCGAGGCUGUUCACAGGGCCGUCUGCCAGCCACUCCGCUGUGAUAAGGGUGAAGGGAAACAUUCUGGAAGGGAGUAGCUGUCCCUGAGGUUCCCUGUCCUUCCCACUUGAACACUAAACUUACCUUCUACUCCGGUUCACCUCGAACAGCUGCACAGCAGAAAGCAGAGCAGGGCUGGAGAAGCAGCUGCCUAACUUGUAUCUGAGCUCCAGCCCGCUUCUCCGAGAGCCUGCCGUGGUGGUGGGGGCGAGGGAAGCCAGCGGCAUGGUUCCAUGCCACAAAGGAGGGUCUGCCGGGGACCACAGGCAUGGAAGGAGCCGCAGGGCUCUGGAGCAGGCAGGGGAGCUGGCCAGCAGGCAGGGGAGAUGGUCUGCAGCAAGAGAAUAUGGCCCACAGGCAGGGGAGAUGGUCUGCAGCCAGAGAAGAUGGCCCACAGGCAGGGGAGAUGGUCUGCAGCCAGAGAAGAUGGCCCACAGGCAGGGGAGAUGGUCUGCAGCCAGAGGAGCUGGCCAGCAGGCCCUCCUGUGGGCCAACACCACGGCCAUUCCUGUAACUGGCAGACCCUUGCUUGAGUGUAGGAAGCUCCAACAGUUCUUGAAGGCAGGUCUGGUCUGCCAAAACGGGGAAAUGUGAAGAAAGAUUUAAAAAGUCAGAGGCGUGUGACAUUCCUAAGGAGUUCUUGGAAAUCCAACUGGUAAUUUUUAAUGCAUGGAGUUGGCAGUGACUGGUUGCAGGUUUACAGCACUUGCAUAGCUUUCACAGGUGAUUUGUACUUCAUGCUUUCCCACGAUAAAGACCAUAUUUCAUGGAUCUGCAGUGAAAGGGUGCAUUCUUCUCCAUGUCUCUGAUGCCCUGUACCAGUAGCAGCUCUUGAGUGCAUAUUUUAGUUUGCUGCAACUUCACCUCACAUAUUGGUUUAUGUAUUAUGCAAGAGUCUACUGCUCUUUACAGCACUGGAACAAAAGCAAGGAAGCACUUCCCUACUAAGACCCCAAUUUAAGGAGGCCUUAAUUAACACAUAUGCACUCUUGCUGCAGUCAAACCCUGCACAUCCUACCCCUGCCCAUGAAUCCUAAUGUGUUUAGAGCAUGCCUUUCAUCUCACCAUGUAUCCUUCUGCCUCCUACACAGGGAAUCCCAGGCACUUCACAGAAUAUCACUGGAAUCAUAGAAUCAUGAAAUGGGCUGAGUUGGAAGGGAUCUUAAAGAUCAUCUAGUUCCAAACUGUCCUGCUAUGGGCAGGGACACCUUUCAGCAGACCAGAUUGCUCAAAGCCCUGUCCAAACUUGCCUUGAAUACCUCUAGCGAUGGGAUAUCCACAGCUUCUCUGGACAACCUGUUCCAGUACCUCACCGUAUAAAAUUUCAUCUUGAUAUCUAAUCUAAACCUACUGUCUUGCAGUUUUGACAUUCUACCUUGUCCUGUUACUAUGUGCCCUUGUAAACAGUCUCUCUCCAUUUUUGUUGUAGGAUUCUUUCAGGUGCUGGAAGGCCUCAGUUAGGUCACCUCAAGGCCUUCUCUUUUCUGGGCUGAACAAUUUCAAUUCUCUCAGCAGAGAGAAUUGAAAUUCCUCAUGGCAGAGGUGCUCCAUUCCUAUGAUCAUCUUGGUGACCUCCUCUGGACUCAUCCCAACAAGCCCAUGUCUUUCCUGGGCUGGGGACACCUGUGCUGGGGACCCCAGUGCUGGAUGCAGCACUCAAGAUGGGGUCUCACGAGAAGGAUGCUUUCACACUCUAGAAAAAUAUAUCUUAAUUCAGUAAAGAGCAUUGAAUAUUCAGAAAGAUCCAUUGGCAGCUCUGGAUUUUAGAGAGUACCUUAGAUUUAAUUUUCCAGUAUAAAGGUCUUGAUUCAAAGCUUGGUUAAGUUCAUUACAAUCUUUUUUUCUAGCAGGCACAGGAUUAGUUUAGCUCUUAAUUUAGCUGACUGACCAUCCUGAUGUCAGGUCACAGAUCCAAUUUAAUUCUGACUUCCUUUUUCCCUACUUAAUCCCUUCAUUUGUGAAUAUUUCCAGCAGUCAGGAGUUAGACAUUCCUCUUUGUGGUGAGCUGAUGUAGGCUGUAUGCCAGGGUCCCACCAAGAAGCUCUGGCAUUCCUCCUCUUCAAGUGGACAGCAGAGAGAGAAAAGAGAGCAAAAGACUCAGGGGUUAAGAUAAGGACAGAAGAUCACUCAAAAAUUACCAUCACACAAAAAUGGACUCAACUUGGGAAUAUUAAUAUAAUUUAUUACCAAUUGUUCUGUUUUAAACCCAGCUGGCUACUUGUCACUCCCCAUCACUUACCCACAGUCACUUGUUCACUCCCCAUCUGUGGAAUAGGGGGAAAAACUAAGUAGGGUAAAUAUCCUUUGCAUCCAAGAGAUACUCAGAUAAACAAUAUGAACAAAUGUGAAACGAUGUGAACAAAUUUCACUUAGCAAUGCCACUUUGACUAUUUAUAUAAUGGGAGUUUACUUAGAAUUCAAAUCAGAUACCAAAUUCCAGUAACAUAUAGUGAUAAUUAAUUAAGUAUGCAGCUUGACUCACAUAGGACUCUUUUGGUUUAAUUGUUGAACCAUAACUCUGUCCAUUUAUUUUUUAUUGUAUGGGAAAAAAACAACCACAAUUUUAAUCACAAAAGCUAGAAACCAUUGCCACAAAAUACCAGUUGCAAAAGCAGAAAGUAAAAGAAAGUAGUCUUUCUUGAAGUCAGUAACUUUUUGAAAAUUAGUAAGAGAAUUUCUAACAUUAGUAUCUUGCUUUUGAUAUGUUAAAUGAAUUGUCAUUUUCUGUUGUUUUUCCUUUGAUUUCCAUCUGCAAAGAAUAACAGGUAUCAAAUAAAUGAACAGUGGUCUCUUUGGUGAGCCUUUAUAUUCAGUGCAUCAUAGACAGCUCUUAUAAAUGAACAAUAUUAAGCAAUAUUAGGAGGGAAUGAAGCAAAGGAGUAACUGCAUCUUGCAAGAAAACCUCAAAGUUAUUACGUCUAGGCAGGAUGCACAAGAGCAAAGCACUCAAAGAGGGAAUGUGACAUUUUAGUUGCAGUGUCUAAAGGCCAUUUGUGUUGUGCUGCUGGUUUUUAUAUAAGACCAAAUCAGUAAAGUCAGUAUAAUUUUAUACCAUUUAUUCACUCAGUAAUAUUUGAAUUCUCCUCUGGUCUUUCUGCCACACAUUGGUGUAUUUUUUCAUUGCAAAAGAAUGAUGGAGGUCAUAUCAGGCAGGUGCAGAUAGUUUUUUCAUUUUUUUAAGGUGGGAAGCAAGUAGCCCAGUAUUAGGAAGCAAGAUGUUCUGUGUAAAAGACUAUUGGAUACUUAAAAAAACUUCUGAAUUUCUCUUUCAUCUCUGGCACUCAUAUUUGAAUUCCUUUGGUGAUGUGAGGUCAUAAAAGUGGCCUGGUAGGAAGGUGACAAAUACUGAACAAAAGACACUAUCUGCUGAAAAAAUACUGACAUCUCUGAAAAGUGAAGCUGGUCACUUUUAAGUGCAGUCAGGGUAUGUAGAAGCCAGAGACACCAUGGAUAAACACAAACCCAAGGGACUUCAAUGGCAAUUUAGAAUCUGAUAAGGUGAAAAAUCACCUAGCUCUGAAAGAACAAAAACCACCCUUAUCUAAUGGUUGUUACAGGCAAAAAAAAAAAAAAAAAAAAAAAAU